rnacentral:rRNA from 1 species
AUUGAACGCUGGCGGCAUGCCUUACACAUGCAAGUCGUACGGCAGCACGGGGCAACCUGGUGGCGAGUGGCGAACGGGUGAGUAAUGCAUCGGAACGUGCCAUUGAGUGGGGGAUAACGUAGCGAAAGUUGCGCUAAUACCGCAUAUUCUGUGAGCAGGAAAGCAGGGGACCGCAAGGCCUUGCGCUCUUUGAGCGGCCGAUGUCAGAUUAGCUAGUUGGUGAGGUAACGGCUUACCAAGGCGACGAUCUGUAGCGGGUCUGAGAGGAUGAUCCGCCACACUGGAACUGAGACACGGUCCAGACUCCUACGGGAGGCAGCAGUGGGGAAUUUUGGACAAUGGGCGCAAGCCUGAUCCAGCCAUGCCGCGUGAGUGAAGAAGGCCUUCGGGUU